GAGGUACACACACACACACACACACACACACACACACACACACACACACACACACACACACACACACACACUACACAAUACAGCGGUACAGUUCACGACACAGGUACAGUACACAAAACUGGGGUACAGUACACAACACGGAGGUACAGUACACAAUACAAAACGGAGGAACAGUACAUAACACGGAGGCACAGUACACAAUACAGAGGCACAGUACACAAUACAGAGGUGCAGUACACAAUACAGAGGUGCAGCACACAAUACAGAGGUACAGUACACAAUACAGAGGUACAGUACACAAUACAGAGGUACUUUACACAACACGGAGGCACAGUACACAAUACAGAAGUAUAGUGGGGGUGCAGUACACAAUACGGGGGUACAGUACACAACACAGGGUUGCAGUACACAACACAGAGGUACAGUGCACAACACAAGAGAGGUACAGUACACAACACGGGUUCAUGUUUAGCGAACUGAUUGGGUUGUGUGGCUGUUGUUACAUUCUGUUGGGUGGCAGUGGUUCGUUUCUGUUGUGUGGCUGUUGUUCAUGUCUGUUGUGGGGCUGUUUUUCCUUUCUGUUGUGUGUCUGUUCCCCUUCAUCAUGUUAGCCACCACUCUCUCACAAUCUUAAUAAGUAAUUUGGCGCAAUGAUUACAGUUCCUCUUAUUUGCUUUGGCUUAUUCUUGAAACAACAAGUGUUGACAUUCUCAGACGCCACCUGCAUUGGUCAAUGUUGCUUCUAUGGUACAGCACAAAAGCAUGCAUUACUAACUCAUAACUCUUAAUUCAAAACAAAGCUAUUGUUUCAGAUAAAAAAAAAAAACUCAAAAUUAACCCCCUACACAUUCUGCAAACAAUGGUGGUCAAAUGUUUAGAUGUUGGGUAAGUAUGGCAGUGGACCCUGGAAAUGUUUCUUUCAUCCACAUCUCAGUCUUCACAGACACUGAAUGUUUUCUCUACUAGAAUGACAUUUUUGUCUAGCUAUCUGAAUGCUGUUGUGUAUCAAACGGAAUGAUAGCAAUCCUUGAACAGUUCAAGGAUUUACAUUACACACUUUGCACUCACAUUUCCGACAAUGGAAUCAAUCAGACAAUCAAAUCUGUGCUUAGUGGUCUGGAGGUUUGCAGAUUUUGUUUUGAACAUGUUUAUGAUAAUUUUAGAAUUGUCUCCACUCCCAGAUGUGGAGGAGACAUAGAUAACCCGCUCCUUUAGAAGGGAGGCUUUUUACAUGUUGAACACCAUGUCUCCAAAGGGCCUCAAUAUGUAUUUUAUUUUGACCUUAGACCUUUUCUUUGAUUGUUCAUGUUUGGUAUAUAGCCUGCAAUUUACACUUCCUUCUCUGCUUAUAUAUGAGGAAUACAUCAAUGUGCAUUUUGUUUAAAAAAAAAGCUUAUUGUGAAGCAUACAGUUAAAAAAAAAAUAUAUAUUGUUAUUAUUAUUAUUUAUAUUAUUAAUUGUAUUAUUGUUAUAAGAUUAUUAUUUGUUCUUUAUUAUAAAUUAUUCUCUUUAUAUUUUAUUAUUUAUAGAUAUUUUCUUGAUGUGUCAUUGACUCUUAUGGAUUUAUGCAAUGCAUGCGAGCCAGUAUCUUCGGGUGCAUGUUUUGCCAUUUGUCACUUUUUUGGGUGCGCCCUGUGGAUUAGACAGGUGUCACCAUUUGGGUCAUGUGAUAUAAGUCAUCUCACCCCUUUUUUUCAAUGCCUGAUGGAGAUCCCUAGAGAUGUAAAAGUGGCCUGUUAAUAAAUCCACUUCUGGAGCAUUUAAA